CAAAAACGGCUGCUUUCGGCUGCUGCACAGCUGAUAUACGCAGUAGUAUAUGUGCUGCGUGUUGUUUGAUAUUGUUGCCAAACCGAAAUUGUAGGCGGAAAAAGCAGAUUAGAUAGUGCUUUGUCAGCCAAAGAGAUACUUUUUAAUUGCAUUCCGAUUAAUCAUUCCUUUUGUCAUUGUUGUUAUAACAAUUAUUCUCUCGCAGGUUAGAGAUGCCUAAUUUAACCAAUUUAUCCCACUUUCCUUUAAAGAUUAUAUUUGCGAUUCAUUUGAUACUUGUAACAUUGGGGAUGCAGGGAAGUUGGUGCCCAAAAUCCGUAUUAUUUUAUAACUUGUUGUUCUUCGUUUGUAUAUUUUGGGCUGUUCAUAAUGUUGAAUCCGACGAAUCAUUACAAUUUGCACUUUUUAUAAAUGUACUAUCUAUAUUUCUGGAUAUAGUCACUUUGAUAGUUUACUAUCCAGUAUAUGACAAUACACCUAACAAGUUUAGUGGAGCCUUUAUGAUUAUGAACUUGAUUGCUCGUCCCAUUUCAAGUAUAUAUUUGCUGCGAAUAGGCCAGGAGAGAGGUGGCAGCUUAGCUACAGUAUUCACGCCAAGUCCUGCCACGGGUUAGUAAUCAUCGGGUUCACACAGUGCAUCAGUGCUUCAAUGAGAUUUGAGUUUGAGUUACGAUCGACAAGAUUAUGAAGAGAUUUCUCAUCCCGUCCCACGAAAUUCCGAUUUUGAUGGAGUUUAAGCUUGAGU
rnacentral:misc_RNA from 1 species